GGGGAAGAAGGCCUUUGGGUUGUAAACUCCUUUUCUCAGGGAAGAAGCACUGACGGUACCAGAGGAAUCAGCCUCGGCUAACUCCGUGCCAGCAGCCGCGGUAAUACGGAGGAGGCAAGCGUUAUCCGGAAUUAUUGGGCGUAAAGCGUUCGUAGGCGGCGUUUCAAGUCUGCUGUCAAAGCCCGAGGCUUAACUUCGGAGAGGCAGUGGAAACUGGAAAGCUAGAGGUCGGUAGGGGCAGAGGGAAUUCCCAGUGUAGCGGUGAAAUGCGUAGAUAUUGGGAAGAACACCGGUGGCGAAAGCGCUCUGCUGGGCCGAACCUGACGCU
rnacentral:rRNA from 1 species